rnacentral:rRNA from 1 species
GACGAACGCUGGCGGCGUGCUUAACACAUGCCAGUCGAACGGAAAGGCCCCUUUGGGGGUACUCUAGUGGCGAACGGGUGAGUAACACGUGAGUAACCUGCCCUUGACUUCGGGAUAACUUCAGGAAACUGGGGCUAAUACCGGAUAGGAAUCCUUGCUGCAUGGUGGGGGUUGGAAAGCUUCGGCGGUUUUGGAUGGACUCGCGGCUUAUCAGCUUGUUGGUGGGGUAGUGGCUUACCAAGGCUUUGACGGGUAGCCGGCCUGAGAGGGCGACCGGCCACAUUGGGACUGAGAUACGGCCCAGACUCCUACGGGAGGCAGCAGUGGGGAAUAUUGCACAAUGGGCGGAAGCCUGAUGCAGCAACGCCGCGUGCGGGAUGACGGCCUUCGGGUUGUAAACCGCUUUCAGCAGGGGCGAAGCUUGUGGUGACGGUACCUGCAGAAGAAGCACCGGCUAACUACGUG